GAUGAAGAACGCAGCGAAAUGCGAUACUUGGUGUGAAUUGCAGAAUCCCGUGAAACAUCGAGUCUUUGAACGCAAGUUGCGCCCGAAGCCACUAGGCCGAGGGCACGCCUGCCUGGGCGUCACACGCCGUUGCCCCCCCAUCUACUCCUUCGGGAUUGCGGGGGGGCGGAUGAUGGCCUCCCGUGCGCCUAGCCGCGCGGUUGGCAUAAAUACCAAGUCCUCGGCGACGCACGCCACGACAAUCGGUGGUUGCGAAACCUCGGUUGCCCGUCGUGUGCGUUCGUCGCGCAUCGAGGGCUCGAAAAAAUGCUCGGCUCCGGCUGGGCUUUCAACGCGACCCCAGGUCAGGCGGGGUUACCCGCUGAAUUUAAGCAUAUCAAUAAGCGGAGGA
rnacentral:misc_RNA from 1 species